UAUUUAUUUUGCUUUAUGUAAUUUUUUGAGACAGGGUCUGGCUUUAUUGCCCAGGCUGGAGUGCAGUGGCGUGAUCUCAGCUCACUGCAACCUCUGCCUUGCAGGUUCAAAGGAUUCUCCUGCCUCAGCCUCCUGAGUACCUGGGAUUACAGGCAUGCACCACUAUGCCCGGCUAAUUUUUGUAUUUUUUAUAGAGUUGGGGUUUCGCCAUGUUGACCAGGCUGGUUUUGAACGCCUGGCCUCAAGCAAUUCACUGGCCUUGGCAUCCCAAAGUACUGGAAUUACACCUGGCCAAGCCCCUUCUAUUUAAAAAUAGAAAUAAAAGAAAAAAAAACAGAUCAAAACCAAAAGUUAUAGUGAGAGUGGACAAGCCCUGGACAACAGCAGGCAUGAGGACUUACAGCCCACAUGCUCAGCCACCAGGUGCAAUCUCCAACAUGUGCGGGCCUUGGAAAACACAAUCGGGCACUCUCUCCUGCCCAUGGAUCUUGCUUGGGAAAGGAAUGGGGCAAGUGGAAAUGGCCAUUUCUUAGAUGAACACAUCAGGGACUUGCUCCAGUCUGAAGUCUAUACAGAGCUAGGCUUUGAAUCCAGUCACGUAACUCAGGUGUGUGUUCAGAGCUUGACGGAUUACCACCAGGCUGGGCCAACAGGGUCGUUUUCAAGUCAGCUAGCCCUAAAAGGGCAAAAAAUUGUUGCAAUGCUCCCAGAUGUAACUCUGACCUGGUAUGGUUCAGGGACGAGGCCACUCACACACACUUGGGCAACUGCUCUUCUCGUGACCAGCCUCUUUCUGUGGGAAUCACUCCAUGGAGCCACCGUCUCUCCUAAGCUACAAUGUUCUACAGUGGUGCAAGUGGGGGAAAAAAUUUCAACAAAAUUUUGGAUAUCAGCUGCUUUAUGAAGGCAUGAUUUAUAAUGAUUUAUUAUAAAAUGAUGGUGUUUUAAUGCUCUUUUUAUUGGUUUUCUAACAGUCG
rnacentral:lncRNA from 1 species